GCUCAACCGGGGAGGGUCAUUGGAAACUGGGGAACUUGAGUGCAGAAGAGGAGAGUGGAAUUCCACGUGUAGCGGUGAAAUGCGUAGAGAUGUGGAGGAACACCAGUGGCGAAGGCGACUCUCUGGUCUGUAACCGACGCUGAGGCGCGAAAGCGUGGGGAGCGAACAGGAUUAGAUACCCUGGUAGUCCACGCCGUAAACGAUGAGUGCUAAGUGUUAGAGGGUUUCCGCCCUUUAGUGCUGCAGCAAACGCAUUAAGCACUCCGCCUGGGGAGUACGGUCGCAAGACUGAAACUCAAAGGAAUUGACGGGGGCCCGCACAAGCGGUGGAGCAUGUGGUUUAAUUCGAAGCAACGCGAAGAACCUUACCAGGUCUUGACAUCCUCUGACAACCCUAGAGAUAGGGCUUCCCCUUCGGGGGCAGAGUGACAGGUGGUGCAUGGUUGUCGUCAGCUCGUGUCGUGAGAUGUUGGGUUAAGUCCCGCAACGAGCGCAACCCUUGAUCUUAGUUGCCAGCAUUCAGUUGGGCACUCUAAGGUGACUGCCGGUGACAAACCGGAGGAAGGUGGGGAUGACGUCAAAUCAUCAUGCCCCUUAUGACCUGGGCUACACACGUGCUACAAUGGGCAGAACAAAAG
rnacentral:rRNA from 1 species